CUUUGUUCAGCCUCCUCUGGGGCAGCUGAAUGAUCCCUGGGCUUGGGGUCUGAAAAGGGUUGUCAGUGUCCAGUACUGUCACCAGCAUUGGUUGGUCUUGGCAUACUUGAUGACUCAAGCACUGGGCUUCAUGCUGUAAGCAGGCCUGCUGACACACGACUGUCUGAGCACAUCGUGUCCACAUCCUCAGCUGUCACUCUUUGAGGUGGUGUUGUCUCAAUAACUCACUGUGGCUGUCUACAGACUCAGCCCAAGCUGCAGCCAUUAGCGCAAUAGGUUUGCUGUCAUAGAAGAUAUGAUCACAAAUGUUGGUGCAUGCCUUUAAUCCCAGCACUUGGGUAGCAGAUAGAGGCAGGCAGACUAUGAAUCCAAGGAUAACUUUGUCUACAACACAGUGAGGCCCAGGCCAGUCAUGGGCUAUAUAAUGAGACCCUGUCAGGAGAAGAGGAAGAGGAGGAGGAAGGGGAAGAGAAGGAGGGAGAGGAAGAGGAGGCAACUUGAAUUUCCUCUCUGAACAGCAUAGACACUGCAAGAUCUUUGGAUCAAUAUGCUAUGGACUGGGGUCAUCCAUCACUACUGGAGUCUUCCCAGAGGCCCAGAUGCCUACAGAUUCUGAUGGAAUGUCCCUGAACCGGCUGCUUGCAGGGAUGGGGAGUGCCUCAGCCUUCCCAGUAGACAAAGGUGGUUGUGGUGGCCUCUGAGACUUCAGGAUAUAGAGCAAAGGUGAGAGAAUGGAGCAGAGUGGAUAACUAGGUGAGGGAUUCCAAAAUCAUCCCAUCUAGGGAUUAUGACCAUAGUGUAUUUUAAAAGAUAUUCAGCCCCCAUAAUAGUCUGACAUGAAGACAAAUGCUAUAACAAUCCAUGCCAGUGUCACACCAAAUCAGGGGAAAAAAAGAAAACAGAGAAGGAAGAGGGGACAGCAGUAAAAUCUGUAUACACAGACUUUGACAAGAAAGAAAAUUCCAGAGUGGUAAGCUUCUGGGGGAAGCACAUUUGGCCCAGUUCUGAAGGCUGCAGAAAAUGAGUUGAGCAGGAACAGAAAGGUGUGUGUGUGUGUGUGUGUGUGUGUGUGUGU
rnacentral:lncRNA from 1 species